GGCUUAGUGGCAUAGUGGUUAGCACUGUUGCCUUUCACCCCAAUGGUUGGAGGUUUGAUUCCUGACUUUGCCC